rnacentral:piRNA from 3 species
UCCCAGGGCGAGGCUUAUCCAUU